rnacentral:rRNA from 1 species
GGANUGGAAAUGAGCGAAGCUUGAUCCAGCAAUGUCGCGUGAAUGAUGAAGGACCCGUUUUUCCGUAAAAUUCUUUUUCUAUUAUACAUUAUGAUCUUAAUAGAGAAUAAGUACCGGCUAACUUCGUGCCAGCAGCCGCGGUAAUACGAAGGGUACUAGUGUUAUUCUACUUUAUUGGGCGUAAAGCGCAUGACGACGGUUUAUAUAAAUUAAUUAUUAGAAUUCUAAAGCUUAACUUUAGCUUUGUAAUUAAUAAAUUAAGCUAAGAGUUUUGUAUAGAAGUAAACAGUACUUUAAAAAUAGGGGUGGAAUCCAUAAAUUUUUUAAAGGACUAACAAUUGGCGAAAGCAGUUGUACUAUAACAGAACUGACGUUUUAGUGCAAAAGCAUAGGUAGCAAACUGGAUUAGAUACCCAGGUAGUCUAUGCUGUGACCUAUGAGUAUUAAAUCCAUUAUUUUUAGUGGGUAUCAGCUAACGCGUAAAUACUCCGCCUGGGGACUACGACCGCAAGGUUAAAACUCAAAAGAAUUGACGGA